GAAUAAAAGACUGGAAUACGAAUGAACAAGAAAAAAAUAAACAGUCCCUGCAGCUUCAUGGAUGUCCCAGAGCAGGUGUGAAAGAUAGGCAGAUGACAUACACAAGAGUGGACUGGUUGACAAAAUUGAGGUCCAUCCAUGAAAGGGAAGAGCAGGGAGGAUUUAUUCCUGGAUAUGCACAGAGAAAUGAAUAAGGAUUUGGACUGAAGGUUUAAAAGAAUCUACACCAAAGAAUACCCAUCCGGAGCUAUGGAGGACCUUGGUUUAAUUCUGAAAGCCCAAAGAGAAGUUUCACAAUCAAUCCAGCAGCAGAGCUUACCCUUGCUCUCCUCCCAACCACAUCACACUGAUCAGCUGUCAGCAGACUCAAAGUGAAUUCGAAAUUCCAUCCCAUUUCACAUUUUCCUCAAAACAGAAAUCCUACUCUAACUGCCUCAGCCCUCCUCCAGUGCUCCAAUAAAUUGGCUCUGCAG